rnacentral:lncRNA from 1 species
CUCACCUACACUAAUCAGAACAUCAGCUUUUGAUUCUGAUCCCAAAAGAGCGGGUGGUUCAUUUUGUGUGCAACCGACUUGUAUGGAACCUACUUCAGCCUGUAUUCAGCCAGCAUGUUUCAUGCCCAAGUUGUUUGGUCAGAAGAGCAAGAAAAAGACUAGAAAAACUAGGUCUGAGCUGGGGCAGAGUGCUACUAACCUGCCUGAGCUCCUUGCAGAGCCAACCUCGGCUCGAUCAAUGUCGUUUGUUGGGACUCAUGAGUACCUGGCCCCAGAAAUCAUCAAAGGCGAAGGGCAUG